rnacentral:rRNA from 1 species
CAGUCGCCGCGGUAACACGAAGGGGGCUAGCGUUGUUCGGAAUUACUGGGCGUAAAGGGUGCGUAGGCGGUUUGGCAUGUCUUGUGUGAAAUCUUCGGGCUCAACCCGAAGCCUGCACGAGAAACUACCGGGCUUGAGUAUUGGAGAGGUGAGUGGAAUUUCCGGUGUAGCGGUGAAAUGCGUAGAUAUCGGAAGGAACACCUGUGGCGAAAGCGGCUCACUGGACAAUAACUGACGCUGAUGCACGAAAGCUAGGGGAGCAAACAGGAUUAGAUACCCCCGUAGUCCCUGUCUCUUAUAC